GGUUUUUCCUUCUUCUCGUUGCCGUGGCAACUCGGUAGGACAGCUUCAAAUGGCAGGAAUUCUUACAGACCUAAAGGACACGAGAUGGGGCGAUGCAGGCACCUGGAUGCCAACACCUGCCUGGCCCCUUCCCUGCAGCUCUUCAGUUCUGGUAAACAAAGGUGGAUUAUUGAAGGAGUAGCUUUUGCCUCUGGAAAUCAGGUUCAACACUCAAAGUUAUGGUCUGUGGAAUUUCAGUAGAAAACCAUCUUUGCUCCCUGGUGAUAGGAAUGGCAGGGAAGGAAGGUGGAAUUCUCAUACUGGACCAGACUCUCACACUGGGACAACAUUUCUG